rnacentral:rRNA from 1 species
AUGGCAAAAUUCUGGUGGGGGAGUUCGGUUGAUAGGCAUUCCUUGCACUGGAUCGCCUGGGACAAGCUUGCUACACCAAAGAUUAAAGGAGGGAUGGGGUUUCGUGAUCUCAGACAGUUUAAUCUAGCGCUCCUUGGGAAGCAUGGCCGAAGGUUCAUGACAAAACCAGAUGCUCUCUGCACUAGAGUGAUGAAAGGAAGAUACUUUCCUAACCGUGUUUUCAUGCAGGCAACAACACCCAAAUCUUCAUCUGCUAUAUGGAGGGCCAUUGUUGCUGGCCGUGAAGCUCUCAAUGUUGGCCUGGUAAAACGCAUCGGUGAUGGCAUAUCCACCUCCGUUUGGGAGGAUCGAUGGAUCCCAUCGACUGCCACCAUGAAACCACUAUUCAGGCCACCGGCUUCUAUGGUCGCAAUGGUCACUGACCUGAUCGACGAGGACAACUGGACCUGGAAACAUGAUCUUGUCCAUGCAACUUUCAUUGCGCCGGACGCGGAGGCUAUAUUGAACAUCCCACUCCGGCAGCGCGGUGGAGAUGAUUUCCUUGCUUGGACACAUGAGAGGACCGGUAUCUACUCUGUUAAAUCAGCCUAUCGAGCCCUGAUGAAUCAAAAAGAGCGUUUAGCUCUAGAAGAGGGGCAGAUGGAGAUGCCAUCAAUGAAUGAACAGUAUAUGUGGAGCCAACUAUGGAAACUCAAAGUUGUCCCAAAAGUAAGGGUGUUUUGGUGGAGGGUACUUAAUGGAAUCAUUCCCGACGAGUGCACUCUCCAUCACCGACACAUAAAAGAUACAAGCUUAUGCAAGCUUUGCCUUGCUAUGGAUGAAGACUUGAUGCAUGCACUUGUGCACUGUUCUCACGCGAGGCAUUUCUGA